AUUGAACGCUGGCGGCACGCCUAACACAUGCAAGUCGAGCGGCAGCGCGAUAUGUAGCAAUACAUAUUGGCGGCGAGCGGCGGACGGGUGAGGAACACGUAGGAACCUACCCUCGAGUGGGGGAUAACCAAGGGAAACUUUGGCUAAUACCGCAUGAUUUCGAGAGAGCAAAGCUGCCGCAAGGUGGCGCUCGAGGAGGGGCCUGCGUCCGAUUAGCUAGUUGGUGAGGUAAGAGCUCACCAAGGCGAUGAUCGGUAACUGGUCUGAGAGGACGACCAGUCACACUGGGACUGAGACACGGCCCAGACUCCUACGGGAGGCAGCAGUGGGGAAUAUUGGACAAUGGGGGCAACCCUGAUCCAGCGAUGCCGCGUGAGUGAAGAAGGCCUUCGGGUCGUAAAGCUCUUUAGGUUGGGAAGAAGAGUGAUGGAGGAAAUGCUAUCACUUUGACGGUACCGACAGAAUAAGCACCGGCAAACUCUGUGCCAGCCGCCGCCGUAACAC
rnacentral:rRNA from 1 species